GACGAACGCUGGCGGCGUGCUUAACACAUGCAAGUCGAACGGAAAGGCCCUGCUUUUGUGGGGUGCUCGAGUGGCGAACGGGUGAGUAACACGUGAGUAACCUGCCCUUGACUUUGGGAUAACUUCAGGAAACUGGGGCUAAUACCGGAUAGGAGCUCCUGCUGCAUGGUGGGGGUUGGAAAGUUUCGGCGGUUGGGGAUGGACUCGCGGCUUAUCAGCUUGUUGGUGGGGUAGUGGCUUACCAAGGCUUUGACGGGUAGCCGGCCUGAGAGGGUGACCGGCCACAUGGGGACAGAGAGACGGCCCAGCCUCCUACGGGGGGCAGCGGGGGGAAUUAUUGCACAAGGGGCGGAAGCCUGAUGCAGCACCCCCGGGUGGGGGGUGCCGGCCUUCGGGUUGUAACCCGCUUUCGCCGGUGAGGAAGGGGGAGGGAGGGUAGGGGGUAAGAAAGCCCCGGCUAAUUACGGC
rnacentral:rRNA from 1 species